ACCCGGCUCUGCCUUGCUCAGCUCCCGCGGGCGGAUGACUCAGUCAAGAGCGGCAGGAUCUGCAGCUCCGGCUCCGUCCCAGGCUGGCUCCGCUCCCCCCGGCACGACUGCACCAACAAUGGGGUUGGCCUUGAGCGAGAGGACACGGAGCGGCAGCUCCUCCGCACCCGCCCGCGGCGUCACACGAGCAGGAAGGGAGGGAAGUGGGGACCCAGCACCCGUCCCCAGACCGGGGGCUUGGAUGUGACCGCACAGAAAUGCCCCACAGCAAGGCCAGAGUGGGCACACAGACAGAUGUCCAAGCAAAGAUUGAGACAACUGGCACCACACCAAUUUCAGCAGGUCAGUGUUGAUGGCAAGUGCCAGCUCCUGGCUCCUCCCCACCAUUCCAGGCUCAGCCAAAACCAUCCCACAAAAGCCAACUGCGAUCCACCAGCACAGCAGUAGCUCUGUGCAGCCGUGCAGGCGCUGCUGGCACAGCCGGCUGUGCAUGUUCUGGCACCAGAAUGCACAUCCUACUUCCACGUGAUGGAUGUGGAAGAAAAUGUGUUUGCCUGUGGAGAGGGGAUGUGGAUGGCGGGAUGGGGCUGGGAGUGGGGCUGGCAGGGAAGGCAGGAUGCUGGGUUAUGGGGCUGGGACUGGCCAAGGGAGACCGCUGCCUGGAAACGGGCUCCGCUGGGCCAGAGCUGUGUUUGGGAGAAAAGCUGGUAUGUAGGUGUGCUGGUGCAUGAGGACAUUGAGCUGGGGAGUGUGUUGAAACAGAAGGGUUUGAUUUUUUCAUUUGAAAUGACAUUUCUGCUCCCUUGGAGUAUAAAAUGAAACAUUACCAAAAGAGGAAAAAAAAAGGUGUGGGGGGCAAUCAUCAGUAACCAUUCCUUCCCACCCUGAAAAAUCCCCUUUGUAGUCACAUUUUUGCUAUCUUGUUUGUUUUCCAGCUUGGGUGUGAAGCUGCAGCUCAGAGGCUCAUGUGUCCCGGUGCCAUGGCUCUGCUGGCCUCAGGCUGCAGGGUGGGAUGGCCCUCAGUGAGCCACAAGGUGGGGAUGCUCCCAAUCUGGGAAGCUCCCAGUGGGGAAUGCAGCAGCAUGUGGUGUGCUUGCAUCACCCAGUGCUUGGAGGGAUACAGCUCAGUGCCCACACGUCAUGGGAAGUGCAGCCAGGCAGUACCUGAUCCUGCAGAGAGGGAUGCUCGUGACCCCUCUGCCUCCAGCCCUUCAUCCCAGUCCUCAGCAGGAGACGGGGCACUGUCAGUAAGGGCCAGGAGGUUCAUUCCAAGGAGGACUCAUGCAGGAUUUGCUUUUGAAGAUCCAAACAGCAGCUGGUCCGUGGGCCAGCUUUCUUGGGAAGAAUGCUUCCAGCCACACGGGGCUCUGGGGCUUCCCCCGGCCUCCCCAUGGGGCAGGCACAGGCGAGGGAUGAAGAUCCUGGAAGUGCAAAGACCUGUGGGGGUCCCUGGCACAGCCCAUGUUCCUGCCUGACCCUGGGAAGCAGUCAGGAAGGAUUUGGAUCCAUAUCUUUUCUCCCAUAGAAUUUGCACCUCGCAUUCCCACUUUUUAUUCUCUCUGGCAGUAUUUGGUUUAAUUCAUGUUGAAGCCUGCAGGGUGAAGUGGCUGGAGCCAUCCCAGCCACUGUUGUCCCACACUGAGCACCACCUCCUCUAUGUAGGUCUCAGUGCAAGGGGCACCCAGGGGUGCAGAUGCCAACUCCCCCCCAGGCCUGGAAGGGUGCUGGGAGAGUCUGCUCCAAGCAUUGCCCAGUCUCCACAACUCCUCAGUUCCCUGCCAGCUCCAGGAGCACUCCAAGCCCCAAACCCUGCUGAUUAGAGACAUUUAACAUUCCUCCCAAUGCCAAAGGGAUCUUUUAUCAGUGGGGUUUUUUUCCUGCAGACUAUUUUCUUUUCAUGAAAACAUUAAAUGGCCUGAGAGAUAAGGAACAAAUUUAUAGCAGUUCACACCGAAUCAGCCAAGACACUGGCAAGGAAAAAAUGCCUUCCCUCCUGCUACCCGCCUUCCCUCGCACGCUCCCCACCCCGGCCAUUUCCUCUCAUUCUCUCCAAAUUCUACAGACUCCCACGACAAGCUUGGCCAGCCUGUCCCAGCUCUUCCUGCCCAGGCAGGGCUUGGUGCAAGGUCACCCACCAAGACAGUGGAUUUGGCACAAGGAGGUUCUGGCACAGUCCCAUUCACAUCUCCCUGGGAUGCUGCUGAGGGCUGUCUUCAUGCCAGGGUGAUGCAGCCUUGUGUCCAGCAGCCCUGGACAUGAGGAUUGGAUCCUGGACAUACAUUCCCUCCUGGCACGAGGAUGGAUUCAGGCUGUGCAAAGCCUUGCCUUAAAAACAAGCCAGUCUAAAUCUGGGUGGAUGUUAACUGUGGGUCUGGGUGAGACCUGUCAGCCCCCACUUCCCUUACCCAAUAAAGCAUCCCUUGUUCCAUCCCUGCCGCUGGGAGCUGCUCAGCAAACCAGUCCCGGGGCUCACAGAGCUGUAAUGUUUAAGUUACCAAAAUCUGCAAUAAAUUUUCCUAGCAGCCCCCAAUCAUCUGGCCCCUGUCUGCCAGCGCUGCCGGUUUAUGAGCUCUGAAGAGCUAUAAAGGCCUUUUACUGGC